GAUGAACGCUGGCGGCGUGCCUAAUACAUGCAAGUCGAGCGAACAGACGAGGAGCUUGCUCCUCUGACGUUAGCGGCGGACGGGUGAGUAACACGUGGAUAACCUACCUAUAAGACUGGGAUAACUUCGGGAAACCGGAGCUAAUACCGGAUAAUAUAUUGAACCGCAUGGUUCAAUAGUGAAAGACGGUUUUGCUGUCACUUAUAGAUGGAUCCGCGCCGCAUUAGUUAGUUGGUAAGGUAACGGCUUACCAAGGCGACGAUGCGUAGCCGACCUGAGAGGGUGAUCGGCCACACUGGAACUGAGACACGGUCCAGACUCCUACGGGAGGCAGCAGUAGGGAAUCUGCCGCAAUGGGCGAAAGCCUGACGGAGCAACGCCGCGUGAGUGAUGAAGGUCUUCGGAUCGUAAAACUCUGUUAUUAGGGAAGAACAAAUGUGUAAGUAACUAUGCACGUCUUGACGGUACCUAAUCAGAAAGCCACGGCUAACUACGUG
rnacentral:rRNA from 1 species